GAAUUUCUAUCUUAUACAACUUUUGCGGCUUUUAAGAAAUUCAACCUCCUACUUUUCUUUUCAGUUUACCAACACCUAUCUUUUAGCGGUUGAAGUUUUCAAUAGCCAACUGUUGGCUCCAAAAAGCUGAACCAAACGGGCACUAAAUUAGAUCAACUAAGAAUGAACCUGCAUGUUGGAAAUAAGAAUAUCAGUUUCCAUAAGAAAA
rnacentral:misc_RNA from 1 species